AACGAACGCUGGCGGCAGGCUUAACACAUGCAAGUCGAACGGAUACUUCGGGAUUAGUGGCAGACGGGGGUGUAACGCGUGGGAACGUACCCUUUGCUACGGAAUACCUCAGGGAAACUUGAGCUAAUACCGAAUGUGCCCUACGAGGGGAAGAUUUAUCGGCAAAGGAUCGGCCCGCGUGGGAUUCGCUGGUUGGGGGGGUAAUAGCCUACCAAGGCGCGGAUCCAUAGAUGGGCUGUGAGGCUGAUCAGCAACACCUGGACUGAGACACGGCCCAGACUCCUCCGGGAUGCAGGAGUGGGGGAUAUUGGACAACGGGGGCAAGCCUGAAGCAGCCAUGCCGGGUGAGUGCUGAAGGUCUUAGGAAUGUAAAGCUCUUUCAACGGUGAAGAUAAUGACGGUAGCCGGAGAAGAAGCCCCGGCUAACUUCGUG
rnacentral:rRNA from 1 species